rnacentral:rRNA from 1 species
CCUACGGGAGGCAGCAGUGGGGAAUAUUGCACAAUGGAGGGAACUCUGAUGCAGCGACGCCGCGUGAGUGAAGACGUCCUUCUUUAUGUAAAGCUCUAUCAGCAGGGAAGAAAGUGACGGUACCUGAACACGAAGCUCCGGCUAAAUACGUGCCAGCAGCCGCGGGAAUACGUAUGGAGCAAGCGUUAUCCGGAUUUACUGGGUGUAAAGGGAGAGUAGGUGGCAGAGCAAGUCCGAAGUGAAAACCCAAAGCUCAACUAUGGGAAUGCUUUUGAAACUGCAGAGCUUGAGUGGAGUAGAGGUAGGCGGAAUUCACGGUGUAGCGGUGAAAUGCGUAGAGAGCGGGAGGAACACCAGUGGCGAAGGCGGCCUGCUGGGCUCUAACUGACGCUGAGGCACGAAAGCGUGGGUAGCAAACAGGAUUAGAUACCCCAGUAGUC